rnacentral:rRNA from 1 species
UAUGUGAUCGUCUCUCGCAUAUCAAUAAGCGGAGGAAAAGAAACUAACAAGGAUUCCCCUAGUAACGGCGAGUGAAGCGGGAAGAGCUCAAAUUUGAAAUCUUAAAGGGUUUCCCUUUACGAAUUGUAGUUUAAAGAAGUGUUUUCUGUUGAGGUUUUGGUAAAAGUUCUUUGGAAUAGGACAUCAUAGAGGGUGAGAAUCCCGUAUUUGACCUUUACUUUCAACUUUGUGAUACACUUUCAAAGAGUCGGAUUGUUUGGGAAUGCAGUCCAAAAUGGGUGGUAAAUUUCAUCUAAAGCUAAAUAUUGGCGAGAGACCGAUAGCGAACAAGUACCGUGAGGGAAAGAUGAAAAGAACUUUGAAAAGAGAGUUAAACAGUACGUGAAAUUGUCAAAAGGGAAGCGUUUGACACCAGUGUUGUUUUUCUGAAAAUCAAUUAAAGAACUGUUUAUGCUAAGUUGUUUAGACUUUAUCAGCUAUCUGUUUAGUUUUGAGCUUUUCUUUAAUGCACUUUUCAGUUAACAAGUCAACAUCAAUUUCUUUUGCUGUAAAAAAGGCUUGAGGAAGGUGGCUUGAGAUUCGUCUUAAGUGUUUAUAGCCUCUUGCCUAUGCAGUCGGAGAGAUUGAGGUCUGCAGCGUAGAUCCUUCGGGGCUAAAUGCAUUUGUGCUAAGUUAUAGCAUUUUAUAGACAACUUGUUGACUAUGAUUUGUCUUGUAGCUUACUCGCUUAUGUUAUUUUACCUACGCUUAGGAUGUUGAGUAGCGACAUACGCAC